GAAAUAAGUAAAAUAAAGAUUUCUAAUCUUUAAUUUAAUAAUUGAGUUUAUUAUUAUUUCU
rnacentral:tRNA from 1 species